AGAUUGAUAGCUUGCUAUCAAUGCUGACGAGCGGCGGACGGGUGAGUAAUGCCUGGGAAUAUACCCUGAUGUGGGGGAUAACUAUUGGAAACGAUAGCUAAUACCGCAUAAUCUCUUCGGAGCAAAGAGGGGGACCUUCGGGCCUCUCGCGUCAGGAUUAGCCCAGGUGGGAUUAGCUAGUUGGUGGGGUAAUGGCUCACCAAGGCGACGAUCCCUAGCUGGUCUGAGAGGAUGAUCAGCCACACUGGAACUGAGACACGGUCCAGACUCCUACGGGAGGCAGCAGUGGGGAAUAUUGCACAAUGGGGGAAACCCUGAUGCAGCCAUGCCGCGUGUAUGAAGAAGGCCUUCGGGUUGUAAAGUACUUUCAGUUGUGAGGAAGGCGUUGGAGUUAAUAGCUUCAGCGCUUGACGUUAGCAACAGAAGAAGCACCGGCUAACUCCGUGCCAGCAGCCGCGGUAAUACGGAGGGUGCGAGCGUUAAUCGGAAUUACUGGGCGUAAAGCGCAUGCAGGCGGUCUGUUAAGCAAGAUGUGAAAGCCCGGGGCUCAACCUCGGAACAGCAUUUUGAACUGGCAGACUAGAGUCUUGUAGAGGGGGGUAGAAUUUCAGGUGUAGCGGUGAAAUGCGUANAGAUCUG
rnacentral:rRNA from 1 species